rnacentral:rRNA from 1 species
CAUUCACGGAGAGUUUGAUCCUGGCUCAGGACGAACGCUGGCGGCGUGCUUAACACAUGCAAGUCGAACGAUGAACCUCCUUCGGGAGGGGAUUAGUGGCGAACGGGUGAGUAACACGUGGGCAAUCUGCCCUGCACUCUGGGACAAGCCCUGGAAACGGGGUCUAAUACCGGAUACUGACCCGCUUGGGCAUCCAAGCGGUUCGAAAGCUCCGGCGGUGCAGGAUGAGCCCGCGGCCUAUCAGCUUGUUGGUGAGGUAAUGGCUCACCAAGGCGACGACGGGUAGCCGGCCUGAGAGGGCGACCGGCCACACUGGGACUGAGACACGGCCCAGACU